CAAUAGCGUAUAUUUAAGUUGCUGCAGUUAAAAAGCUCGUAGUUGGAUUUCGGGUGGGAAUGGCCGGUCCGCCGUUUCGGUGUGCACUUGCUACGCCCACCUUGCUGCCGGGGACGUGCUCUUGAGUUCACGCUCGGGACACGGAGUCGGCGAGGUUACUUUGAGUAAAUUAGAGUGCUCAAAGCAGGCCUACGCUCUGAAUACAUUAGCAUGGAAUAACACGAUAGGACUCUGGCCUAUCUUGUUGGUCUGUAGGACCGGAGUAAUGAUUAAGAGGGACAGUCGGGGGCAUUCGUAUUUCACUGUCAGAGGUGAAAUUCUUGGAUUUAUGAAAGACGAACUACUGCGAAAGCAUUUGCCAAGGAUGUUUUCAUUAA
rnacentral:rRNA from 1 species